GAUGAACGCUGGCGGCGUGCUUAACACAUGCAAGUCGAACGGGAAACCUUUUAUUGAAGCUUCGGCAGAUUUAGCUGGUUUCUAGUGGCGGACGGGUGAGUAACGCGUGGGUAACCUGCCUUAUACAGGGGGAUAACAGUCAGAAAUGGCUGCUAAUACCGCAUAAGCGCACAGAGCUGCAUGGCUCAGUGUGAAAAACUCCGGUGGUAUAAGAUGGACCCGCGUUGGAUUAGCUGGUUGGUGGGGUAACGGCCCACCAAGGCGACGAUCCAUAGCCGGCCUGAGAGGGUGAACGGCCACAUUGGGACUGAGACACGGCCCAGACUCCUACGGGAGGCAGCAGUGGGGAAUAUUGCACAAUGGGGAAACCCUGAUGCAGCGACGCCGCGUGAAGGAAGAAGUAUCUCGGUAUGUAAACUUCUAUCAGCAGGGAAGAUAAUGACGGUACCUGACUAAGAAGCCCCGGCUAACUACGU
rnacentral:rRNA from 1 species